rnacentral:lncRNA from 1 species
AAAAAAUAAAAAAUAAUCAUUGUAAGUAUAAGCAUGUGACUAAGACUCUAGCAAUCAUUUACUUCUUGGUGAGUUAGGUUCCAUCCUAAAACACACAAGUCAACCUUAAUAUAAGUUUGGGCUUUUCAUUCAUGUUUGGAGUCACCUAUGUCAACUAUAUUCGUCAAAGGAAAAACUUGAAAAGAGAAACCCCUAGUGAUCUCCCUAAG